AGUGAACGCUGGCGGUAGGCCUAACACAUGCAAGUCGAACGGCAGCACAGUAAGAGCUUGCUCUUACGGGUGGCGAGUGGCGGACGGGUGAGGAAUACAUCGGAAUCUACUUUUUCGUGGGGGAUAACGUAGGGAAACUUACGCUAAUACCGCAUACGACCUACGGGUGAAAGCAGGGGAUCUUCGGACCUUGCGCGAUUGAAUAAGCCGAUGUCGGAUUAGCUAGUUGGCGGGGUAAAGGCCCACCAAGGCGACGAUCCGUAGCUGGUCUAAGAGGAUGAUCAGCCACACUGGAACUGAGACACGGUCCAGACUCCUACGGGAGGCAGCAGUGGGGAAUAUUGGACAAUGGGCGCAAGCCUGAUCCAGCCAUACCGCGUGGGUGAAGAAGGCCUUCGGGUUGUAAAGCCCUUUUGUUGGGAAAGAAAAGCAGCAGGUUAAUACCCCGCUGUUCUGACGGUACCCAAAGAAUAAGCACCGGCUAACUUCGUG
rnacentral:rRNA from 1 species